CGUAGGGUGCAAGCGUUAAUCGGAAUUACUGGGCGUAAAGCGUGCGCAGGCGGUUGGAUAAGACAGGUGUGAAAUCCCCGGGCUCAACCGGGGAACGACGCAUGAAACUGGCAAGCUAGAGUACCAAAGAGGCGGGUGGAAUUCCGGGUGUAGUGGUGAAAUGCGUAGAGAUCCGGAGGAACACCGGUGGCGAAGGCGGCCCGCUGGGCCGGCCCUGACGCUGAGGCGCGAAAGCGUGGGGAGCGAACUG
rnacentral:rRNA from 1 species